UACAUAGCUUAAUGAGGGGAACUCAGGGAACUGAAACAUCUAAGUACCUGAAGGAAGAGAAAGAAAUUCGAUUCCGUAAGUAGCGGCGAGCGAACGCGGAUUAGCCCAAACCAAUAAAGUUUUCUUUAUUGGGGUUGCGGACAUAUCAUAACGAAGAGGUAUCGUAAUUGAAGAGGUUUGGAAAGACCCACCACAGAAGGUAAUAGUCCUGUAUGUUAAACGAGAAGACUUUAGAUAUGAUCCAGAGUACCACGGGACACGUGAAACCCUGUGGGAAGCAGGAGGGACCACCCUCCAAGGCUAAAUACUACCUAGUGACCGAUAGCGUAUAGUACCGUGAGGGAAAGGGGAAAAGAACCCCGGGAGGGGAGGGAAAUAGAACCUGAAACCCUGCACUUACAAGCUGUGGAAGCACAUUUCUUGUGUGACCGCGUACUUUUUGUAGAACGGGCCAACGAGUUACGUUAAGUAGCAAG
rnacentral:rRNA from 1 species